CUUGAACGCUGGAGGCAUGCUUUACACAUGCAAGUCGAACGGUAACAGGUUAAGCUGACGAGUGGCGAACGGGUGAGUAAUGCAUCGGAACGUGCCCGAUCGUGGGGGAUAACGCAGCGAAAGCUGCGCCAAUACCGCAUACGAUCUGGGGAUGAAAGCGGGGGACCGUAAGGCGUCGCGCGAUAGGAGCGGCCGAUGCCAGGUUAGGUAGUUGGUGGGGCAAAGGCUCACCAAGCCAAAGAUCUGUAGCUGGUCUGAGAUGACAACCAGCCACACUGGGACUGGGACCCGGCCCAGACUCCUACGGGAGUCAGCAGUGGGUAAUGUUGGACAAUUGUCGAAAGCCUGUACCAGCAAUGACGCGUGCAGGAAGAAGACCUUCAGGUUGUAAACUGCUUUUGUACGGAGCGAAAAGGCACUCUAUAAUACAGGGGGCUCAUGACGGUACCGUAAGAAUAAGCACCGGCUAACUACGUGCCAGCCGCCGCAGUAA
rnacentral:rRNA from 1 species